rnacentral:tRNA from 1 species
UCCUCCUUAGCUCAGUUGGUUAGAGCAUCUGACUGUUAAUCAGAGGGUCCUUGGUUCGAGCCCAAGAGGGGAGCAA